UUGGAGGGCAAGUUUGGUGCCAGCAGCCGCGGUAAUUCCAGUUCCAAUAGGGUAUAUUAAAGUUGUUGCAGUUAAAAAGCUCGUAGUUGAAUUUCGGGAUCAAUAUGUCGGUCGUGCCUUGGUACGUACUGGUAUCAUUGGUUUCUCCCUUCUGACGAACCCUGAUGUCAUUAAUUUGGUGUUAUGGGAAAUUAGGACUGUUACUUUGAAAAAAUUAAAGUGGUUAAAGCAGG
rnacentral:rRNA from 1 species